GGUGGUUCCCUACCUGAUUUGCGGAGAUGCAUUACUGAAGGCUUGAGGUUGAGCUGGCAUGCAGGUGCUCACCUCUUUCAUCCAUUCUACACCUGUGCACUUAUUGGGGAGCAAUCCCUGUCUUUACACACUCUUUUAAAUUUAAUGAAUGUCUCUUAUGUGAUAACACGCAUAUAUACAACUUUCAACAACGGAUCUCUUGGCUCUCGCAUCGAUGAAGAACGCAGCGAAAUGCGAUAAGUAAUGUGAAUUGCAGAAUUCAGUGAAUCAUCGAAUCUUUGAACGCACCUUGCACUCCUUGGUAUUCCGAGGAGUAUGCCUGUUUGAGUGUCAUGACUCUCUCCACUACAAACUUGUUUUGUAGAUGGGAUUUGAAGGUUGUUGGCCUAGUUCAACUCCUUCUAAUAGCAUUAGCUGGAUCUACAAUCCUGCAGCGUGAUAAUAUCUACACUGUUAGGGAAGGGCUUUCACAAGUCCGUAGUAAUUCGGCUUCUAAUCGUCCUCGGACAAUUUUCUUGACAUCUGACCUCAAAUCAGGUAGGACUACCCGCUGAACUUAAGCAUAUCAAUAAGCCGGGAGGAA
rnacentral:rRNA from 1 species